rnacentral:lncRNA from 1 species
AGGCAGAGAGUCGUAGUGGUGCCACCAGCACCUCACUCUUCGUCCUGGACAGCUUCCCAGCAGCGCGGCUCGGAGCACGUCAGGGUUGUCGCCAUGGCAUUCGCAAACUGGUGGUACAAGACGCAUGUUAAUGAAAAGAAUAUUGGAUCAUCUUCUAAACCAGCAGAAAAGAAAGGAUCUGAUGAGGUGACAGCUUCCUCUGCUGCCACUGGCACAUCUCCCAGAAUGAGUACCACAGGAGCUAAGGCUGUGAAAAUAGAGUCUGAGAAGUCACAAUCAAGUGAGCCACCUGUGAUUCAUGAGAAAAAGCCAAAAGGAAAGCCAAAGGAAGGGUCAGAGCCCCAAACUCUUCCUAAGCAUGCAUCAGAUACAGGAAGUAAGCAUGCUCACAAAGAAAAAGCACUUUCCAGAUCAAAUGAGCAGAUAGUGUCAGAGAAAUCAUCAGAAUCAAAGACAAAAUUUCAAGAUGCUCCUUCUGCUGAUGGAGAGAGUGUGGCUGGAGGUGUGACUGUGGCCACUGCCUCAGACAAGGUGGUUGUUAAGAAAAAAGAGAAGAAAUCAUUAACACCUACUUUACCUAUGGAGUCCACACUAAACAAGCUAUCUGACAAGUCAGGCGUGAAUGCUGCUUUGGAUGACCUGAUAGACACCUUAGGUGAAUGUGAAGAUACUAACAAAGAUGAUCCACCAUAUACUGGACCAGUAGUUCUG